rnacentral:misc_RNA from 1 species
ACCUUCUCAACCCUUCCCUUCUUUUAGGGCUCUCGGGUUGGAUUUGGACGCUUGCCGUGGGUUUCGACCUUUCGGCUCGUCUUGAAAUGCAUCAGCUGGUCCGCCGCGCGAGUUUGGUAUUAACAACGGUGUGAUAAGAAACGCUUCGUGACUGUAGCGCCGUUUCGCCGACUCGUUGGAGGGGCUGCUUCCAACCGUCUUAGGACAAACCUUUCACUUC